AAAUUGAAGAGUUUGAUCAUGGCUCAGAUUGAACGCUGGCGGCAGGCCUAACACAUGCAAGUCGAGCGGAAACGAGUUAUCUGAACCUUCGGGGAACGGUAACGGCGUCGAGCGGCGGACGGGUGAGUAAUGCCUAGGAAAUUGCCCUGAUGUGGGGGAUAACCAUUGGAAACGAUGGCUAAUACCGCAUGAUGCCUACGGGCCAAAGAGGGGGACCUUCGGGCCUCUCGCGUCAGGAUAUGCCUAGGUGGGAUUAGCUAGUUGGUGAGGUAAGGGCUCACCAAGGCGACGAUCCCUAGCUGGUCUGAGAGGAUGAUCAGCCACACUGGAACUGAGAC
rnacentral:rRNA from 1 species